AGUGAACGCUGGCGGUAUGCCUAACACAUGCAAGUCGAACGGCCGCACAAUAAGAUCUUGCCUUUACGGUUGGCGACUGGCGGGCGGGUGAGGAAUACAUCGGAAUCUACUUUUUCUUGGGGAAUAACGUAGGGCAACUGCCGCUAAUACCGCAUACGACCUACGGGUGAAUGCAGUAGUUCUUCGCACCUUUCGUGAUUGUAUUAGCCGAUGUCGCAUUGCCUAGUUGGCUUGGUAAAGGCCCACCAAGGCAACGCACCGUAGCUGGUCUGAGAGGAUGAUCAGCCACACUGGAACUGAGACACGGUCCAGACUCCUACGGGAGGCAGCAGUGGGGAAUAUUGGGCAAUGGGCGAAAGCCUGAUCCAGCCAUGCCGCGUGGGUGAAGAAGGCCUUCGGAUUGUAAAGCCCUUUUAUUAGGAAAGAAAAGCAGCGGGUGAAUAGCCCGCUGUUCUGACGGUACCCAAAGAAUAAGCACCGGCUAACUUCGUG
rnacentral:rRNA from 1 species